UGAAGCCUCCAUGAAGGUAGUGAAUCUCAUCUGGCAACUGAAGCCUCCAUGAAGGUAGUGAAUCUCAUCUGGCAGCUGAAGCCUCCAUGAAGGUGAGCCAGCUUCGGGAUUGCAACCGAGAAGUGGGACUAUUAAAAGAAGUCAUGCCCAGGUGGCUCACCAACCUGGAGAAGGGACAAGAGACCUCUGGAGCUUCGCCUUUAUAGCUGAUUGCUUUUUGAAUCCCAGCCAUCCCAGCCUCCACAGUCUGAAGCAGAAACAUCUCAUCCAAACUGCAUUUGUGUGAGCAAGAAAUAAAUGCAGACAGCUAUAUGCCAAGGAGAUUUUAUAGUUGCUUGUUAUGUAAUAACAAUGACUAAUAGAGAAAUGAUUGAAGAGUACUGAAUCACAACAUUACUAGCUCAACCUGCUCCCCAGAAAAUUGCUAAUAAAGACAAUAAUAACAAGAAUUCCCUCUUAUUAAUGCCUAUCAAAUGCCAGCAAUAACUAGAUGCUUUGCACAUUGUAAUCUCAUUUUAUCCUAGGAAGACAACAACUCUGUGAAGUUGGUGAUCUUAUCCCUAUUUCAUUCCCAGGAAAUUAGGAUUCAGAAAUGGCUUAUAGAUUUUCAGAG
rnacentral:lncRNA from 1 species